CUAACGGAAAUUUCAGAGACUGAUCAGUACUUGAAAAGCGGAAAGGAACUGGGAGACACUCACGCAUCAUAUUGUCAGCAAAAGACUACCUGAAAACCAACCGAUAUGAGGAUAUAUGUGUUCUUUCUACUGCUGUCCUUACUGCUGGGGGCCGUCCUGGAAGUGAACACCCAGGUCGUCACGCGUCGAAGGAAUUUCCCUGGCGAGAGACGCCUCGGGAGCAUAAACUAUGGGCAGUACAGGUUCGGGAAGAGAGGAUAUCAAAGGAAGCAAAAUCCGAGAAAGUUUACGUGAAGUUAUCGGUUACUUGGAAUGUGCUCUGUACUGACUAACGGACUUUUUGACAAUGACACUUCAGUUAAUCAUAUAGAAAGGCUUUAAACUGUAAAUAGAUUUGUAAAUAAACUCUAAACGUGAAUCCACGAGUAGCUAUACAGACUGUAAAUAGUUUAAGUACGGGAAUAUGUAGAUAUAUACCUUUUUUCCAUGAGGACUGGGGGACGUAAAGGAGCAGAAUGAAAAUAGAUAUUGUAGGACCUAUAAGUUAAAGAGAUAAUAACUAAACCACAAGCAAAGACCAUACUAUAAAGAGCUUGAAGCUAGACUCUAGACGUAAGGCUACUGAAUGCAGGUUGGAAGGGAAACAUGAGUUCAGUAAAGCCUUUGGAAUAGCCACUACGUUCAUCUGAGGGAACACCAAGUCCACAAGAUCGACCAAAGCCCCCCAGAAGAGUUCUCGGGUGAAAAUCCACCCACAGCUUCAAGACCCUUGCUAUUAAAGACGAUUUGAGGGAUAGCAUUGAUGAUGAUGAAAGAUAACUUUGAGGAUAAUAUAGCUUUAACCAACUCUUUCUGAUUCAUUACUGAUGGUUAACCUUUAUUAGUGCUACGCUUUAAUGUGUAAUGGAAUUGGAAAAACACUCAGUAUAAUAUAUAUUUGUAAUGCUGUUAAUAAUGUUAUAUGUUAUAUGCAGAUGUAUUUAUACUGUUGAUACGAUGUUGCCCUGAUAUUAUAAUCUUGUUACAUAUUUUGCUUGUUAACUGGUUUGUACAUGCAAGUUAUUAAGAUGUUUUGUUCUUUUUGUUAAUUGUUGGGAAAUUAUCAUUAUGUAUUGCCUGUUAUAAUAAAAUAACAAAUAUGAA